CAUGUACUAAACAUCAACAAAACUCUUGUUAAAGACAAAAAAAAAAAAAAAUCCUGGCUUUAUUUACUAGAAAAGAAUGCAGGAAGUUGGGAGAUGUAAAUGUUGUGUGCUUUUCGUUCUUAAAAAACACUGAAUUGCACAGUUUCUGAAAGUCCAAACUGGCAAUCUUUUUGAGACACCAUCAGCUUUCAGGGGAUAUAUUUAAUAAAAAUGCUAUUUUUUGCAGUUUCCUUCUACCUUAGAAGACACAAAGCUCCUUGUUGCAAUGUUUUCUGUUGAUGACUGGAUACCUUCAGGGGCUAAUGAGGAGAUGUAAAACCACAGUGAACCCAGAGACCAUUUCAAAUCUAGGCCAAGUUUCACGCCGGUGCAGUUUUCCCAGGACAAUGGGUCCUUCACAGGUCCUCCUUACUUCAGGAGGCCCCUUCAACCUGCAGCACCAGCCAUGGGUCCUGCUUAAAUGGUUGUUUCAAUUCAUAUCCCAUCUCGAGCAAAAGGCUUUGUCUGAAGCUAUCAUGAAGUCACUCGCUGAGACUGCCAGAGGAUUUUUGUUGGACCUGAACUCCUCAGUACUGGAAAUAGCUCCUGACUGCUGAAUCACAGCAGUACAAGAGCAGAGCAGUGUUACUGUCUUAUCUCCUCUGCAGGCACAUUCUUUCUCCUACAGAUCACCAUAAGGGUAACAAAACCUUAUCAGCAUGACUAACACCAAAAUGUCUUGAUCCACUUAACAGUAUAGAUAUAUUUUGCACCAGCCCAUUGGAAUAUAUCAUUUCCUAAAAUUUAAAGCAAGUUUUGAUCACGCAGUGCUCUACCAAGAAGAGUUAGAACCACCCAUGGCUUUGUUCUUGCCUUAUAGGUCUUAUCUUGCCCAUGUGCUUGUUAAUACUUUUUGUCACUUUUGUGGCAGAUAGCUUCUAUCGAGCCUGUUUGGAGGAAGUCCUGCCCAUCUCAGUCUUCCACUUAUACCAGUAAGAGUUUUUGCUGCUGUUUUCUCUGGUUUAGGCUCCUGAUAUCAAAUACAGCUAUAUGAAAAACAUAAGAGACAAAAAUCUGAACUUCAGAUUCUUGGCUGGAGUAACAUAGCACAACUUCCUUAAUUUGUACCAUCUGCUCAUAUAGGCUGUGCUUGUCAGGUCUAAAGCUUUCUGAGUCAUUCAUCCAGUAGCAGGACUUCUGGAAAAUUGACUGAGAGUGGAAAAUGGUACUCAUGAAGAAUAAAUUUUGUGUUAUAACUAAUCUCA
rnacentral:lncRNA from 1 species